UGUUAAAAAUUCCAUCCAUUUAUAUUGAUAAAAUUUCGCAUGGCUAGUAGAAUAACCAGACAGUAACACAUUGUGUGUCACAUGUACCUCACGCUAAUGACAAAUAUCGAUUUUUAAUAACAAAAAUAGAUGAAAUUUUUAACA
rfam:Gossypium hirsutum cultivar TM-1 chromosome 7, whole genome shotgun sequence